rnacentral:rRNA from 1 species
AGCAGCCGCGGUAAUUCCAGCUCCAAUAGCGUAUAUUAAAGUUGCUGCAGUUAAAAAGCUCGUAGUUGAAUUUCGGGACCAUCAUGUCGGUCGUGCCUCGGUACGUACUGGUAUUAUUGGUUUCUCCCUUCUGAAGAACCUUGAUGUCAUUAAUUUGGUGUCUUGGGGAAUCAGGACUGUUACUUUGAAAAAUUAGAGUGUUUAAAGCAGGCAUACGCUUGAAUACAUUAGCAUGGAAUAAUGAAAUAGGACGUUUGAUUCUAUUUUGUUGGUUUCUAGGAUCGACGUAAUGAUUAAUAGGGAUAGUUGGGGGCAUUAGUAUUCAAUUGUCAGAGGUGAAAUUCUUGGAUUUAUUGAAGACUAACUACUGCGAAAGCAUUUGCCAAGGAUGUUUUCAUUAAUCAAGAACGAAAGUUAGGGGAUCGAAGACGAUCAGAUACCGUCGUAGUC